UGAUAGUUUCAGAAAGUACAGUUGGCUAACUAUAAUGUCAAAUCAGGCCCAAUUUGGUCAUUAAGAUAGUUCUCUUCUCUUGGAUUUAUUUGAUGCAAGUGUGAGAAAAGAGCGAAAAAAGAACAGGGAUUAGCAUGUUAUUAUCCCAAAUGGAGAAAUGGCUUCGGACAGAGAAAGAGAGAGAGUGAAGUGGGGCCCAUUGGCUACAGUGAGGAACAGCUAAGGGAGGCUGUGUGAGAAAGGGGACGGCAAGCGGUGGUUGGAUAAUGGGAGGCUGAUGACGUGGCACUUUUUAAUAGAGAGAAGAGGAUGACGUGUCACUUUAUUUUUUUUUAUUUUCUUUUUCCGUUUUCUUCCUUCUUUUU
rnacentral:lncRNA from 1 species